rnacentral:rRNA from 1 species
GAUGAACGCUGGCGGCGUGCCUAAUACAUGCAAGUCGAGCGAACGGACGCGAAUCUUGCUUCUCUGAUGUUAGCGGCGGACGGGUGAGUAACACGUGGAUAACCUACCUAUAAGACUGGGAUAACUUCGGGAAACCGGAGCUAAUACCGGAUGAUAUUUUGCACCGCAUGGUUCAAAAGUGAAAGUCGGUCUUGCUGUCACUUAUCGAUGGUUCCCGGCUGCAUUAGCUGGUUGGUAAGGUAACGGCUUACCAAGGCAAGGAUGCAUAGCCGACCUGAGGGGGUGAUCGGCCACCCUGGAACUGAGACACGGACCAGACGCCUACGGGAGGCAGCAGUAGGGAACCUGCCGCAAUGGGCGAAAGCCUGACGGAGCAACGCCGCGUGAGUGAUGAAGGUCUUCGGAUCGUAAAACUCUGUUAUUAGGGAAGAACAGAUGUGGAAGUAACUGUGCACAGCGUGACGGUACCUAAUCAGAAAGCCACGGCUAACUACGUG